UUGGGUAACUAAAAUUAUAGAUCAGGGUGGUGCAGUAGACACUGCUUACCUAGAUUUCAGUAAGGCUUUUGACACUGUUGCACAUAGAAGGCUUAUCAAUAAACUGCAAUCUUUUAGAUGGAUUCCAAUAUUGUUGAAUGGGUAAGGCACUGGCUGAGUGAAGGCAACAGAGGGUUGUAGUUAAUGGAAUAUAUUCGAAGC
rnacentral:lncRNA from 1 species